CCCCAAACUGGGAACCCCAAAACUGGGACCCUAUGGGACUGGGAUCACCUGAAACUGGGACACCCCCAAACUGGGAUCCCCCCCAAACUGGGAUCCCCCCCAAACUGGGACCCUAUGGAACUGGGACCCCCAAAACUCGGACACCCCCAAACUGGGGUCGCCCCCAAACUGGGAUCCUAUGGGACUGGGAUCCCCCCCAAACUGGGAACCCCCCCAAACUGGGACCCUAUGGGACUGGGACCCCCAAAACUGGGACCCCCCCAAACUGGGAUCUCCAAAUCUAGGACCCCCCAAACUGGAACACCCCCAAACUGGGAAGCCCCCAAACUGGGAUCCUAUGGGACUGGGAUCCCCCAAACUGGGAACCCCAAAACUGGGACCCUAUGGGACUGGGACCCCCAAAACUGGGACCCCCCCAAACUGGGAUCCCCCCCAAACUGGGACCCUAUGGGACUGGGAUCACCUGAAACUGGGACACCCCCAAACUGGGAUCCCCCCAAACUGGGAUGCUAUGGGACUGGGAUCCCCCAAACUGGGACACCCCCAAACUGGGAUCCCCCCCCAAACUGGGACCUUGUGGGAUUGGGACCCCCAAACUGGGACCCCCAAACUGGGAUCCCCAUAUCUGAGACACCCCCAAACUGGGACCCUGUGGAACUGGGACCCCCAAACUGGGAUCCCCCCCAAACUGGAACCCCCCGUGCAACUCUUGGCCCCGCCCCCUUUGCUUAAGCCCCGCCCCUCGCUCAAACCACGCCCACCCGGGGUCGCCGCAAAGCCCCGCCCCCCCUCGGUGGGCGUGGCCUCCAGCUCACGUGACGCGCUCAAGCCCCGCCCUCCUGGCUAAGCCCCGCCCCCUUCGCUGUGUAAGCUCCGCCCCCUCGCAAUAAAGCGCUGCUGCUGCUGCU
rnacentral:lncRNA from 1 species